rnacentral:lncRNA from 1 species
AAACAGAAGAACAAGUUUACUAUUCGCCUGGUGGUUGUAAAGCGAAAUUGCAGGCAUAGUGAUAAAAAGGAAACAAUUGACUUCGCAUUUCCUCAGCUUCUAACACAAAUGGGAAAGCGGAAGAUACAUGGGAAGCGGGGUGGGGGUGGGGAGCUCUGAUGCUUCAGGAACCAAAGCACUGAACACAAACAAAUUAGCAAGGGGAGCACAAGGGUCACCCGAAGAGACUAUCUCGACCUAGCCACUUAGUUCUGAUUGUCCAUGUUGCCACGCCUUGAUUUUCAGAAGCCGGAAAUUCUAAUUUGAUAUGAAGUCUCUCAAUUCUUAGAGGGCAACUCGAUUUUCUUGGAAACAUUAAAUGAACUAAAUGUAGCAGCGAGCCCGGCAGCUUUCUGCGCUCUGCUGUAGAGGUACACAGCGUCUCCCCUAACUGUGGGAUUACACUGCCACUCUCCAGCCACUGUUUGCCAUUGCAGCAGAGCCUGUCCAGCGUGAGGCUCUCGGCUUUACCCUGCACCCAGGGCUGGCCGACAGAGCUCUAGAGAACAACUAAAUCUACAGGAAGUAGAAGGCUCGCCCAGGGGCGGAAAUGGGGCCUCGGAGAUGAUUAAAUGGCCGACUGUUCCUGCAGGAAGCCCUCAGGGUUGGGGAGGCUUUUAUCUGGCUCAGAAGCCAGGGCUGCCUCUCGAAGGACUUCCAGGUGCUCCUCAGCGGCAGACAGUGAUUGGUCAAUCCAGUCCAGGCCCCCGGUUAGAUGGCAGGCGUUCCUGGUCACUAGCACCAAGUGACUAACGGACAGCAGCAGGGCGGUUGUCCUGGGGGGGGGGGGGGGAGGAAGAGAUCAGACUCUGUAGAAAGUGGGGAACUUUGCACAGAAGUCCAAAUGAGUACACACUCUAGGUUAGUGUUCCCCAAACCGGAGACCCUUCCCUGGAAGAUGUAUUCAGGGCUCCAUUACCAAUUACUAACCCAUGGGAAAAGCUGAACAACACUAAGAGUGGGCAGAGAAACGUGUCAUGACUUACUCGCCACCUGGCAACCAUUACACAACAUGUCAGUGGGAGCCUCACCAAUCAAAUGGAGACAGCAGGAGAGACGAUAUCAGGCGAGAGUUGAGAAACGAACGCAAGAACCAUGCGGCUGGAAACAGUGGAACUUGGAUGUGAUCUUCCAAGCCUUCCAAGACCAAAGUCUGCCUCCAAGUGGAAGAGCUUGUAAUUUGGGUUUUUGCCGGCACCAGAUUGCCUCAGCAGACAACGCCUCCACACAGAAUUCCCCAGUGCUAUAGCAUACACAGCCGACCCACUCCUCCAGCCAGCUCUGUCACCACCUGCCAAGUUCAACGUUUGAUGUCUCCGCAUGUCCAACAUGUCCUUUUCCUUAGACUCAGCCUGGAAGAGUGAGAACCCUGGGAUGGGUUGUGACCGACCGACACUUUGAGAGUUGAAAACUUAGAAGCAGAGUGGAGUAUUCCUUGUGCAGCACCAUCUGGCAGCUUCUCUCACACCAACAGUCAGAAUUCAAACUCUCUUGAUGGUCACUCGGGGAGCACAGAUUGACCAUCUGCUUACAGCAAACACUGAAUUCUGAAGACUA